rnacentral:lncRNA from 1 species
UUACAUUAAUACAUUUUGAUGAAUAUUAUAGUAAGUAAACAAAAUGGCAAACUAUAUUAUUACAAUUAAAGAACCUUUGUGAGCACUAUAGAAAGUAACUGAUUUAACUUAUUACAGUAAUGAACAGAUGCAAAUAUAGCAUGAAUUUUUCAGGAUGAGAACAAAUCAACAAUACAUACAAUAGGUAAUAAUCAGAUAGAUGAAUGGACACAUAUAAUUGGAAAUCAAUGGCGCCUAUUACAAUGGGCAGAUUUAAAAAUGAUUUUCCAUUGUUACACCUUCUGACUAGCAUCUCACAGCCUCUGUGUUCAAUUUUUGUUUUCUCCUUUAAGUGGAUUUCUUUCCUCAUUAUUUUUGAGCAAUCAAUUCAAAGUAUACUCAAAAUCAUAGCUUCCAACAUCAGCCUUUAGCAGUUGAUCAAAUCAUCAAAAAACAAAACAAAUCCCUGUAAAUGCUAGUUAUUCUCUCUUCAAUUUUCUAUUCUUAAUAUUAAUAGAAUUAUUCAUCAAGAAAGGAUUUUCAAAGUUCCAGCUCAGAUAGUGUGACGAUGUCGUGUGUUAAAGAAAAUAAAAAUAUGUAUACAGUAAUCAAAAGUACAACAUAAGUAAUC